GACGAACGCUGGCGGCGUGCUUAACACAUGCAAGUCGAACGGUAAGGCCCUUCGGGGUACACGAGUGGCGAACGGGUGAGUAACACGUGGGUGAUCUGCCCUGCACUUCGGGAUAAGCCUGGGAAACUGGGUCUAAUACCGGAUAGGACCACUGCCUGCAUGGGUGUGGUGGAAAGCUUUUGCGGUGUGGGAUGGGCCCGCGGCCUAUCAGCUUGUUGGUGGGGUGAUGGCCUACCAAGGCGACGACGGGUAGCCGGCCUGAGAGGGUGACCGGCCACACUCGGACUGAGCUACGGCCCAGACUCCUACGGGAGGCAGCGGUGGGGAAUAUUGCACAAUGGGCGCAAGCCUGAUGCAGCGACGCCGCGUGAGGGAUGACGGCCUUCGGGUUGUAAACCUCUUUCAGCACCGACGAAGCGCAAGUGACGGUAGGUGCAGAAGAAGGACCGGCCAACUACGUGCCAGCAGCCGCCGUAA
rnacentral:rRNA from 1 species